CAACAAAAAAAUACUUACAUAAAUAAAAUGAAUUAUGAAAACACAACACCUAAACAAGCAGUGAUGGCCACCAGACCUAUGGUUCGGGAAUGAAAGAAAUGAGCAAGAUGUGGCGAUGAGCAAUCGCUGGAUAAAAUUUU